UUGUCUUCCACGCAAACAGAGCAACAUGCAUAUAUGUAGAAACUGGCACCACACAGAGAGAACAUGAGCAGCUGCAUGCUUGCGCACUAGUUGUUUGUAUCACCACCACUCCCUCCGUCGUCUCCUCCAUGACUGCUGUACUGGUCUCGUGGGAUGGCAUGGUGGUUGUCCACGGCGGUUCCGCCGCCAACACCAAGGGUGGGCUUAUAAGCGGACCUGGCCGUGGCCGUCGUCGUCGUCUCUCCGCCGGCACCCUUGUUCUCGAGCAUCCCCAUGGCAGGGCUCAUCAGGCCAUGGCUGACUACAGCAAAUACAAGAACGAUAGCUGCGAACUUGGUCGUCCUGGCUUUCAUUUCC
rnacentral:misc_RNA from 1 species